rnacentral:rRNA from 1 species
UGUAAGCGUAUACCAAAGUUGUUGCAGUUAAAACGCUCGUAGUCGGAAUUUGGCAGUUCCGGAAGUGUGCACGUCGUGUGCGCACUUUGCGGGGACUGCUUUUGUGGUCUUGCGUAGGAUGAGGCACUUUCAUUAGUGAACGUCCUCACGCAACCACUCUUUACUGUGAGAAAAUCAGAGUGCUCAAAGCAGGCAUUUGCCGUGAAUGUAUUAGCAUGGAGUAAUAGAAUAGGACUCGGUUCUAUUUUGUUGGUUUGUUGGGACUGAGUAAUGAUUAAGAGGGACAGUUGGGGGCAUUUGUAUUCCGGCGCUAGAGGUGAAAUUCUUAGAUUGCCGGAAGACAAACUGCUGCGAAAGCGUCUGCCAAGGAUGUUUUCAUUGA